GACGAACGCUGGCGGCGUGCUUAACACAUGCAAGUCGAACGGAAAGGCCUGCUUUCCCUUGUGGAUUGCGGGUACUCGCGUGGCGAACGGGUGAGUAACACGUGAGUGAUCUGCCCCCAACUUGGGUAUAAGCCUGGGAAACUGGGUCUAAUUCCCGAUAGGACUGCAGGGUGGUGCCUGUGGUGGAAAACGAUUUUCUAGUGGUUGGGGAUGAGCUCGCGGCCUAUCAGCUUGUUGGUGGGGUAAUGGCCUACCAAGGCGGCGACGGGUAGCCGGCCUGAGAGGGUGGACGGCCACAUUGGGACUGAGAUACGGCCCAGACUCCACGGGAGGCAGCAGUGGGGAAUAUUGCACAAUGGGCGGAAGCCUGAUGCAGCGACGCCGCGUGGGGGAUGACGGCCUUCGGGUUGUAAACUCCUUUCGACCGCGAGGAAGCCACCUGGUUGGAAGGGUGGUGACGGUAGUGGUAGAAGAAGCACCGGCUAACUACGUG
rnacentral:rRNA from 1 species